rnacentral:rRNA from 1 species
CCCCUAGUAACGGCGAGUGAAGCGGGAAGAGCUCAAGCUUAAAAUCUCCGUGCAAGUUUUGCGCGGCGAAUUGUAGUCUAUAGAGGCGUGGUCAGCGUGAGCACUUGGGGCAAGUUCCUUGGAAGAGGACAGCAUGGAGGGUGAUACUCCCGUUCAUCCCUGAGUUGCUCGUGCGUACGACCCGUUUUCUUUGAGUCGCGUUGUUUGGGAAUGCAGCGCAAAGUAGGUGGUAAAUUCCAUCUAAAGCUAAAUAUUGGUGCGAGACCGAUAGCGAACAAGUACCGUGAGGGAAAGAUGAAAAGAACUUUGAAAAGAGAGUUAAAGAGUACCUGAAACUGCUGAAAGGGAACCGAAUCGUUUCCAGUGUCUAUAAUCUGUGGCAUAUUUCAUUGGCGAGUGUGUGCGUGCGUGUGCUGUGGCAGUGGCUUUUUUGGCUGCGCUCGGUGUGUGUGCUGUGUGUGCUUGCUGGUGCCCUGUGCUGCGGUGGGACGUCAAGGUCAGUUCGUAUGCUGCGGGAAAUGGCUGCCGAG